rnacentral:rRNA from 1 species
UACGGAGGGUGCAAGCGUUAUCCGGAUUCACUGGGUUUAAAGGGUGCGUAGGUGGGUUGGUAAGUCAGUGGUGAAAUCUCCAAGCUUAACUUGGAAACUGCCGUUGAUACUAUCAAUCUUGAAUCUCGUGGAGGUAAGCGGAAUAUGUCAUGUAGCGGUGAAAUGCUUAGAUAUGACAUAGAACACCGAUAGCGAAGGCAGCUUGCGACACGAGUAUUGACACUGAGGCACGAAAGCGUGGGGAUCAAACAGG